ACACAUGCAAGUCGAGGGGCAGCAUGACCUAGCAAUAGGUUGAUGGCGACCGGCGCACGGGUGAGUAACACGUAUCCAACCUACCGGUUAUUCCGGGAUAGCCUUUCGAAAGAAAGAUUAAUACCGGAUAGUAUAACGAGAAGGCAUCUUCUUGUUAUUAAAGAAUUUCGAUAACCGAUGGGGAUGCGUUCCAUUAGUUUGUUGGCGGGGUAACGGCCCACCAAGACAUCGAUGGAUAGGGGUUCUGAGAGGAAGGUCCCCCACAUUGGAACUGAGACACGGUCCAAACUCCUACGGGAGGCAGCAGUGAGGAAUAUUGGUCAAUGGACGAGAGUCUGAACCAGCCAAGUAGCGUGAAGGAUGACUGCCCUAUGGGUUGUAAACUUCUUUUAUAUGGGAAUAAAGUGAGCCACGUGUGGCUUUUUGUAUGUACCAUACGAAUAAGGAUCGGCUAACUCCGUGCCAGCAGCCGCGGUAAUACGGAGGAUCCGAGCGUUAUCCGGAUUUAUUGGGUUUAAAGGGAGCGUAGGCGGACUAUUAAGUCAGCUGUGAAAGUUUGCGGCUCAACCGUAAAAUUGCAGUUGAUACUGGUCGUCUUGAGUGCAGUAGAGGUAGGCGGAAUUCGUGGUGUAGCGGUGAAAUGCUUAGAUAUCACGAAGAACUCCGAUUGCGAAGGCAGCUUACUGGACUGUAACUGACGCUGAUGCUCGA
rnacentral:rRNA from 1 species